rnacentral:rRNA from 1 species
UACGUAGGGGGCAAGCGUUGUCCGGAAUUAUUGGGCGUAAAGGGCUCGUAGGCGGUCCGUCACGUCGGGAGUGAAAACUCGGAGCUCAACUCCGAGCCUGCUUCCGAUACGGGCAGACUAGAGGUAGGCAGGGGAGAGCGGAACUCCUGGUGUAGCGGUGGAAUGCGCAGAUAUCAGGAAGAACACCGGUGGCGAAGGCGGCUCUCUGGGCCUUACCUGACGCUGAGGAGCGAAAGCGUGGGGAGCGAACAGG